AUCUCGUCUUCGUCGCCCCCGAGCCGUGCGGAGGCAGGCGCCACGAAUUCACUUCUCGCGGCUUCGGCUUCGCUCGGUCAGUUCCGGCUUUCGACCAAAAGAAUUCGUCAGUAUUCGCCGCGCUGCCUUGCCGGCAAGUUAUACGUGAUAGAGAGGUGAUUUUGAUUCCCGUAAUAAUCACGAGUGCGCGUGUCUGAUACGAAGUUAUAGAUAUAUAUAUAUUUAUAUGUAUAUGUAUUUAUAUAUAUAUGUAUACAUAUAUAUACAUAUAGUAUAUAUAUAUACAUAUAUAUUAUAUUCGGGACCAGUGUGCUCCGGAAGUGGAGGAGGUGGCUCCAAAAUACGAGUGUUCCGUAGGUGUCGUGUCGCUCCGAUCUACCUUAUAUUCGAAGUAAAGGUGGAUCGAAGGGGUAGUGGACGGUCAGAGAAGAUCGAUGAAAAAUUGGGAGAGAGGCAGUUCUCCGAGCGACGAGAAGAUAUCGAUAACGGUCGAUUCGAUCGUUGGAAUUUUAUCGACAGACUUCGGGUUACGUCGUGCACGGUCAGUGACGCGUCACGGUUCCGAAACUCGAUCCACCGAAACAGUUCGCAAAAGCGUGCUCCAUUCGCAACGCGAGACAACAAAGACGGAGAUCCUCUCCUCGCAGUGGGCCAAGUUCUCUAUCAAAACAUGGCCACGUGACCGACGGUGCGGCUUGUAAACAGAGAGUUUGACCACGUGGUCUGCCCCCUCUACCGGCGCCGGUGUGUUCUCUCUCUCGCUCCUUCUUACAGGUCUCUUUCUCUCUCCCGUUCGCUCGCGACACGCAGAACAACGUACAGUGUAUUCUCGGUCGGUCCGCUGCCAGUUGCGGGAGAGUUCGAUUCGGGUGAUCCGCGAUACUCCGAUUCGCUUCGCUUCGCGUACAAUUCGUUUUCGUCUGGUUACCGCGUGUUAUCGAUACUCUGGACACUCUCCACUCUCGUCGGUGGGACCAUCGAAAGGAAUACGCGCUAUCAGUGAUCGAAGAGCGCAACAAUUGUUCGAAAAAGUGACUCCAGGUUCGGUUUCGUGUACGUUAUCGUCGAUCAGUGCUCUGUUUAACCGGUAAGAGUGAGAGUGCCGGCAACAUCGUGACUCCCCGUCUAAACUUUCCGCGAUUUCUCGGUGGUCGGCGCGAUAUCUGUCGGGUUCAGCACCUCUCGAGGUGCUUCGCGGUCAAAGUGGAGUACACGGAGGAACCUAACAUGAUGGACUCGGUGCCGGUGUCAGCAUCGGGGUCGAAGACCGGGUUGCAACCACAGCAGGGGGUACCGUACGACCUUGAAAGCGCAUUCGAGCCACAGACGAGAGCACGGUCGCACACGUGGCCGUUGCCAAGAUCGGAGGAGUACAUCGAAGGGAACGUGGUGCCGAAUGUAUCGGCCAGCAAAGAGGGCGUCGAAGGCGUCGAAAGUGGCACGCCGCCUCAGCAUGGCUCUCUCGGCCAAGGUGCCGGGCUGCUUCCGGUCAAGAAAAAUUCCUCGCGACGAAACGCAUGGGGGAAUCAUAGUUACGCGGAUCUCAUCACUCAAGCCAUCACCAGCGCUCCGGACAAACGGUUGACUCUAUCUCAAAUCUAUGAAUGGAUGAUGCAAAAUAUUACCUACUUUAGAGAAAAGGGGGAGAGCAACAGCAGCGCUGGAUGGAAGAACUCCAUAAGACACAACUUAUCGUUGCACAGUCGAUUCAUGAGGGUCCAGAAUGAAGGUACCGGAAAGAGCUCCUGGUGGAUGAUAAAUAACGACGCCAAGCCUGGUAAAUCGUCACGUCGAAGGGCAAUGACCAUGGAGCCCAGUAAAUCGGACAAACGACGCGGCCGCGUGCGAAAGAAGCUCGAAGCGAUAAGAGACGGUGGGCUGCAAAAUGACGCAAUACCCAGUCCAAGUAACAGCGUCAGCGAGGGACUGGAUCUUUUCCCGGACAGCCCUCUCCAACCCGGAAGUGGAUUCCAACUUUCCCCGGACUUUCGCCCCCGAGCUUCGAGUAACGAUUCAUCCUGCGGCCGAUUAAGUCCAAUCUCGGCGAUUCCUGGAAAACCGGAAUGGACACCAACAUACACACCAUACAGCCCAGAACAAUUAGCCGGUAGCCUCGCAGAAACGAUGAAACUGGACUCCUAUCAAAUGUACCAGACGUCACCCCCGAGCCAUCAAACUCAGACAGGCCCGCCACCUUCUUAUUACGAGACCCAGUAUCAAAGGAGCAACAGCCUUACCAUGGGAUCGUCCUCCUUUGCUUUGCAACCGACACCUCAAUCUGCAAAUCAGCAAAGAUGCCCGAUUCAUGGUCUGCAGCCAUGCGCUUGUCAAAUGAAUUUGAGUCCAGUGGCUGGAAUGUCACCGUCCUAUCAACAAAGCGAACCGAGUCCCACGGCGCUAGGGAACAGCCAACAGCAAACUCUUCAGUACAUGAUACAAACGCAGCAGUGCCAACAGCAGCAACAGCAAUUGCAGCAGCACCAACAGCCACAAACGGGAGCAACCGGAACCAGUCAAACGCAAACACCAACACCUUGUGGCCCCGCGCCAAGCACGAUGAUGGGACAGUUGAUGGGAGCGCUCAACAAUUCCACGAUUCUUGACGAUUUGAACAUUAACAUUGAAGACCACGGUGGAUUCGCUUGUACCGUUGAAGAGGUGAUCAAACACGAGCUGUCGAUGGACGGAACGUUGGACUUCAACUUCCAGCAGAGCGUGAUGGGCACGGCUGCGAUUCAAGUGAGCGAUAGAAACAUCGGUCAGAACGGUGCCGUGUCUCAGAACAACGUCGUCGGCACGACGGCUGGAAACGCACCCGCAGGAGUUUACGUGAGCACCAAUGCGGCGACUCCUGCUGCACCUCCCUCGUGGGUUCACUAGCAGUGGACCCCACUGCCCUCGACACCUCCAUCGUACUUGUCAUCGCCUUACUAGACGGACAGGAUCAUUUUCACGGAUCGUCCGAGGGACAGCUCAUCGAAGUCCCAAAGUGUCGAGGACGAGCAGGAGGAUCGAGUUCUUGUGAUAAGGUGUAGAGAUAAUUGUACCAUACCACGACCACGAUACGUAUCAUACCAUCAAACGUACUUCAAGGAUCUACAUCUGUGCGACUGCGAUGCGAGAAUGGCGCCAUGAGCGCGAUCAACAUCGUGGAGCGAGCGUCGUCUCUUCGACGCCUGUAGUUUUGCUUACCAGGCUGGUCGAAACAGGAUUGGAGAAAAAAACCCGCGCAUAUUUCGCCAUUUUUCAUUACCUGACCUCUUCGUUCCCGCGUUUCGAAGGACGAAGCAUCGAGAAUCGCAGCCUCCUUCCGCGUUCUUCUGCGAAAUCGCCUAAGCGUUUCUUACUUUUCCUGUCACAUUACCAACACGAACGUUGCAGUAUAUGGCAUCUCUCGACGAGGAGAAUCACAAUAGCGAUUCCACAAAAAUCUAUUAGUUUAUUUUUAGAAACUCGUCCAAUGUUAUUUUCAACGUGCUCGUUUCGCAUCAUGAUUUCCAUUUUCAAAAACUUUUUUCAAUUUUUCGAUAAAUACUAUCGUCAAUUUUGUCAGCAACUUCCGCUUUUACUCUCAGACUUCUUUCUACGUUUCUUAUAUUCUUAACAUAUGUAGUUCGCUGUUAGAUCUUUUAAGUUCGUGUACAAAUUUCUAGACAAUUCAUAUAGAUAAUAGUAGAACAAUAAUUUCGUAGUAAUGACGUUUGCUUUUGUCGAAAUAUUUUAAUAAAAAGAUCUGCGAUUAGAUCUGUGAUUCAGUCAAAUACGCGAUGACUUACGAAAUUACCUGAUGUACGGAAAAACUGUAUUCGAGCAAUGUUAAAUUCAAAUUUCUGCGCCAGUAAAGAAAUCAUGUUGCGUUACAAAUUGCCUUUUCUACAUUCGAGCUCAAAAGUUUUUCUUCGUAUUAUACCUAUCAGAAGUUCUUUUUGCGACCUCCGACCGCAAAAUCCGCAUCUAAGUCAGCUUCGGGUCUCCUCGUCGUUGUUCGAUGACGCAGAAGCGACUGAAAAGCAGGCAACGUUCCUUCGAUUUCUCUCAAUCGUCAGGGUACAUCGAUCAGCUUCUCCUCGCGUCGGUUUCACCUUGUCCUCUCCAAACUUCUUUGCGACUAGCUACGCAACAGUGGUCCUAAUAGUCCUGGGCACGUUUCAUUUGAAAUUAAAAUAAACAGCCACUAUUCAAAAUAACGUUUCAGUCUUUUAUUUCCUGCAACGUUAAUUAGAAGUAAUUGAAAUAUCAAUUUCCUUGAAAUAAUAGGAAUUUCAAGUAAUUUACUUCUUUCAUUAUUCGAGAAAACGAAUGUUUCAAGUGAGAUUUGACAUGAUAGUGUUGUCGUUUACAUGACGAAUCGUUAUUUACGCUUCUAUCUAAAUUUAUUUAAAUUUAUGCACAAUUUAAAUUUAUAUAAAUUAUUAGCGCAUCGAUUAAUCGAAAUUAUAAAUCCGUACGUAGACUGAAUUGUAUUUAUUAUAUUAAUUUCUUUCCUUUUUUUUUUAAUGAUCAUGAUUUCAUUUAUUAAACAACCUCAACUUAUUUUACUUUGCUAGUUCACAUAUGAAAAUAUUGUUAUUUAAAGAUACAGAUCGAAAACAGAUUACGUACAAUAAUAUGUAAAAAUUAAUCAAAAAAAGACACCUUACUCGAAAUUGUAUUUCAAAUAAUGUUAUUUGAAAGGUGGCCAGGACUGGGCUGGAAGAUGACGCUCGUUCCAAUGAACAUGCUCGCAGCAAACCCGGGCCCACAAAUGGACAAAGAUUUUAUUCGGAUACAAAUUUCGAAUAACGAUUGAUAUGUAAACAACAUCCGAUCCGUCACUCGUCGAAGAAAAUUUAGAAUUGAAAUUGCAAUCAUCGAAUGAGAACUUACGUUCACCUAGGAUGAAUCACUUAGUAGCGUCCUUAUUCGUAAUUUGUCAUUCGAAUAAAAUUUUUGACCAUCUCUGGUCGCGGUAACUCGCAAGGUGUACGACACGCUUCAGAUCUCCGAUAGUCCCAAUGCGUGCGCGAUCGUCCGACGAUGAAAUCGGUGUCAUCGACGAUCGGCGAUUCCGUUUCUUCUUUUUCACUUUUUCGCCGUUCCCUCUGGUCCCACGUUCGCUCGAUUUUUGAGAAUCACCGUCGGAGAACGGGAUCUAGCAUGGCUGAGCCAGUUAAAAAACGGAGGCACGAAUUUUCUGUACAUUUCUGAAAAUAAUCUUGCGCACACGAUUGCACAUACACGCGCGGCAAUGAACAGUUACGAGCUAAAAGGUCAGAAGGGAGAACGAUGCUUUUUUUCUUGGCCGACGAAAAGAAUGAGGACUCGCCGACGUUCGCCGUGCGCACACGAUCUCUAUUCUCUGUAAAAGUAACCUCGUGUGCUUUCAAGCGCACACUAUACAUAUAUACAUAUAAAUAAAUAUAAAUAAAAAUAUAUUAUAUCUACAUAUACAUAUAUAUAUAUAUAUAGAUACAUGAAUAUAAAAUGAAGGACAACAAAUAUUAUUGUAUGUAAUUAAAAUAUUUACGAAGAGAAAUUGUGCGUGGAUAUCGCUACGAAUUCUAUUAUAGUAUAUAUGUAUGAUAUUAUAUAUACAGUAAUAUAUAUACAUAAAUAUAUAAUACAUAUCAUACAUAUAUACAUGAUAUUAUAUAAGGAAAAAAAGUGUUGAAUAUAUUCUAUAGAAUAUUGUACGUUCGCUAAUGUUAUGUAUGGUAUACAAAGAAAAUUCAUAUAUAUACAUAUACAUAUAUAUAUAUGAUUAUGUGUAUAAUUAUAUAUAAAUGCAUAUGUAUAUUCAUAUAUGUAUGUUCAUAAGUAGAUGUAAGUACAUAAGUUAUGUAUAAGAUAUUCAUAGGUACAAUUAACGAUAAGUACGUUACUGCAAGUAGACGUGUAAAGGAAAGUUUUAGUCACAUGGUUAAAAUGGAGUCGAGACGACGAUGAUGCUCAUUUUGCGUGGCUUUUUGCGAAUCUAGCGCGUUGUCUUUAAGAGAAGGAAAGAAUGUUGGUGCUUUUCGAUAGAUGAACGUUUCUUUCUUCGUUUAUGUUGUUCGUCGUCGAUGAAACGGUAUUCGUCAGAUCGAUGUACUAUUUAGGUAGACCGGGCUGAAAGUGUCAGACAGAAGACGUUCCCGCUAACGACGUUGACGAUCAGGAUAGUAAUGCAAUCGGUGCUUGUUAUUUUCAAGCUAAUCGAAACCUUUCUAAAAUCGAAACUUUCGAUUCGACCGGGCACAAUUAAUCGAAUAACCAUAGGAAGAUACCAAUCGAUUACGAUCGUUGAGUAAAUUUCCAAGAUAAACUCCCUUCCGUCGUCGCAAUAUGGAACGUCUUUACGCGUUCUGGUACUGUCGGCUCGACCAGUUAGAAGGUCCUCCGCGGACUCCCUCGAUUUUCACGAGGACUUUGUAAGCUAGUGUAGAAAGAAAUACGCGAUUCUACCAUCGAAGAGCUUAGGUGAAUUUAGUAGACCCUCGAUGUACCGAUUGCCCAACGAUCGAACGAUGUACCAGAGGGAAGUAGACCACUGCAAACGCAUCUUCGGCUCGUCGAACAUGACCCAACGGCCACGAGAGUCUCAGCUCGAAGGGAAAUUCCUUCGAGUUACACAGUGGUCGCGAGUUAGGGUUAUCUCGUGUACUGUAGCGACGAAGAAAGUCAAUUUUAUCGACAAAAUACGAUUAAAUCUAGAAUAACCUGUGCGUGUAUGUAUGAAACAGAAUAACAGACCCCGUUCGACCGAGGAACACGUUUGCUAUAGCGUCCAGCAAGACGAAACGCUAACGACGACUGAUUAGCCACUGUUACUUCGAAUGUAAACCCCCUUUGAUCGAAUAAUUUUUAAGUUCUUCUUUUUUUCUGUAAGCUGCCAUUCACAUGGAUAGAAUCGUAUGGUUGUCUGUCAUCUCUGAAACUGGUGCAGUUAACUAGCAAUUCACGACUAUUAGCAAAGAAAUCACAGUUUAGUUGCAAUGUAUUCUAGCCAAUUUCCAUCAAAGUUAUGCACAUACCUUGCAAUUGUUAUCUGUAUAACAUACAGUGACUCAGCUGUCGAGGACUCCGUUAUUCUAUUGAUACUUCGCAUAAUUUAUUUUAUACCAGUCAAUGGUACAUCUACGAGUUUAGAAUUUUGACAAAUUUUAUAGUUCUUUCGACUCGUUUGAAGAUCACACGAUAUUUUACGAAACACAGAUAGUACCACAUUUAACUUUUUAUAUUCGACAACAUUUUCGCUAUGGCGUACUACCAAUUCCAGGUGAUCCUGCGAGUAAUGAACACCUUGUCCCUAUCAUAAAAUGUUUUUAUACACAAAUUAACUCGCGCUCGACUACUAGAUUACACAGUGGGCUUGUUUCUUUAAUUCGCGCACAAAUAUGACAAUUAUAGGAUUUAGUGCAACGACGAAAAGAAAAUAGUAUACAGUCAGUCCCAUAAAUAUUCGUACCUUUUAUAUCUAUUAAAGAAAUCCGUCUAAAUUAAAUGAUAGGUUUGAUAUUUUUAAAGUAUUCCAUUAUUGAUACAUACAAGUGUAAAGUUUAUUCAUGUAUAUAUUUAUAAUGAAACAUUUAUUUGAAAAUAUCAAACCUAUCGUUUACUUUAGACAGAUUUCUUUAAUAGAUAUACGAAUAUGUAUGCGACUGACUGUAAAUAGCAAAUUGCUAACUGAUUGAAACUAUGUAGAUUUACUUGAAUACAGCAUUUCGACUAAUUGCACGAGUGGAAAUCAAAUUGCACACAUGCUUUCUUAUUCUAGUCUUGAUAAAUAAUCAAUAUUGUCACAAUUUGACGGAACAUAUCUAAAUUCGAACCCACAGUAAUGUUUCAACCCUUUACAGCCGAUGCUGGCACAAUGGUGGUAUUUAACCCUUUACGUCCGACGAAAUUUUCAUAAGACCGAGUUAGUGAUUCCACACGAUUUUCAAAAUUAAAGAAUUCUUGGAAUAAUUGGAUGACGAGUCGCAAAUUUCACCUGAGCAGCUGAACAAACUGUGAAUCGUCGUCAACGGGCUACCUGAUCGUGAUUUCAUCGCGUUCUACGUAGAAACUGCCAUUUACUUGAGUUCAAUAUGUACAUACAGAGUGAAUUGUCAGUCGUCGUUUCGGUCUUGUUCCGCACGAGAUCUGCCGACGGUACGUUUCCAUUUUCCUUGAGGCGAGGAGCGAAAAGAACGAGCCAAACGCAAAGUUGAUCGUCACUGUUCAUAAGGUAAUCGCGGGACGAAGUUAAUCUGCAAGAAAGCAACACGUGUGACUGAGGAUCGGUAACUUUGAUCGGUGAGCGCGUAUAGGGAGAGAACAGAGUAUUAUCGACGAGAAGAAUACGAUUUAUUAUGAUUCUCCUGAAUCGUAAUACGCAGACUGAACACUCUAACUCUCGAAACUUCCAAUGUUUUAAAAAUCCUGAACGGAUAAAAAAAGUGACGACGAAACUUGUUUGUUAUUAUAGAAGAUAAAUUAGUUGUCUUUCAAGUCUCGUUCGAUACAUCAACGUUCAGAGUGGAAAAUGAUACUUUUUUCUUGUAUCAAAGUUUGAUUCGUUAGCAUGAGCUUGACGACUCGUCUGAGCAUUAUUUAAUAAUAUUUCUUUCAUUCUGGAUCGUUAGUAAUCAUGCGAAAGUAGAACACCGUAACAGUAGAUACCAGGUCAUUUCUAUAAGUUCCUGACCAGUUUAAAUUGCGAAGCAUUCGUUAGUUUCUUAUAUUUGGUAAUUUACUAGUUGCCGAAAUUAGUAUUUAGUAUUUUUUAAUUGAAAAUGGACAGUAGGUUUGUUGAAUUUAAUAAAAGUGAAUACGAUAGACAGACUAUUGACAAUAUCAACCUAUAUAACAAGACCUAUGAUAACAUCUACUCUAGAACAGCAGAAAUUUUUCGAGAAUUAAAAUUAAAAUUUUAACGAAAUAUAAACAUUCUGCAUAUGAUUAACUUUUAACACGCGCAUGUGCCAAUUUUUCUAGCUUAUGAAAUGACCCGAUACGUGUGAAAUGUUCGUGUAAAUAAACAAUAAUAUAGGAAAGGUGUAUUACCAGCGAUCUAGAAUAAAAUAAUCUCUGUACAUUAUCUUGCAGUUUCGAUAAACAUUGUUUGCGUUCUUACUUGCGUUGUGUAAUGUUAACGAAUCGUAGAAUCAGUUAGAGCCGAGUGUUAGAGUGGCUCACUCCGCAUACUCUUCUCUGGAUAACGGGUUCGUUCGUUUAGAAACAAUGUUUGCAACAGUUUUCUUCAGGGACGAGUCAACGAGAUACCGUGGAAAGGCGUCUAUGUAGAAAGAAACGUUUCCGAACGCUGGAAUAUUUCCACGAGAAAUCAAGGGAGACUCACGUGAAAUUUUAGCUCGUGUAUCCGUCCACUGACUGUAGAAUUUCAGAUCAAGAGACUGUUGCGCCGUUGCGUGACUGAGCUCUCAAAGAUGGCAAUGACUAGGUGGCAAUUAUCAGAAAAGUGUUGCGCGACGAAUAGUCCAUUUUCAACCUGUUUUUGUUUUUUCUGUGGUUGACAAGUAGAGAGUCAACCUACUGUAUUGUAUGAGAUGCAUAGCUGAAUGACAUUAUAUUAGGAAGCCAUAUAGGCAAGCGGUAGUAAAUUGAGAUUUGAUACACAUUUUUGUGAAAAAUAAUUCUAUGGUUUUUAAACUUCAUAUAUUUAUCUAUUCAUCCUGUAUCAUUUGAGAACCGAUAAUAGAGUUUAAAUAGAGUCAAAUUUUGAUAACUUUUGCGGUGAUCAGAUUAUCUUCGUUAUUUUAAUCUGAAUCGUGAAAAUAAAAGAUUUUUCUGAAGUAGAUGACCGAAGCAUAGUGUUUAUCACAGCAAGUUUUAAUAACAAUUUUGGAUACGCUAUGUCAAGGGCUAGACACUUCUCUUGAGAAUAUUUUACGAUGUAUUAUAAAUAGCCGUUUAAAAGCCUGAAAGCAUCCUACGAACGUCAAUUCAUUUAUAUUAAGAUCUUUGAUAUGGGUCGAAGAUUUCGUCUAUAGUGGGCCGCUGUUUGCUGAAACACGAGAGAGAUCAUAAUCUCGUCUUCUUUUCAAGAAUCCGAAGCAAUUUGUUCACAAAAUUUGUAUUAAUUGCAGAUAACCGGUUGCCAUCGAGCACCCAGCAUGCAGGGCGCAACGAUUCCGAGCGGAUCUUAGGGCGCGAAUGAUCAUCGAUUGCAUAAAUCGCCGCGAAGCCUGCGGAACGAUCUCUACAGAAACGAACUCAAUUAGUACUUUCCCCCCACCGUGAUUCGGCACACGUAAGCGAAGUGUUGCUUUAGUAAAAUAACUUAGAUAAAUAUGUUACUACCUAGAAGUACGCGAAAAUAUAUUACGUAGUCAAUGUUAAUUGCGCGACGGAGAACACAUGGAGCGGCGUGCGAGAGGGAUAGAAUGCAAAGAAGAGAGUGCAAGAGCAUGAGAAAAUGAAACGUGUUCCGAUAGGAUGAGCGCUGAUAGCCAGUCCCUAUGGAACCUAAUUUACGCAUAAGACGUCCACCUUUGCCAGUUUUCUUUGCCUGCGGACACCGUGAACAGUUGACUUUUUUUACGACUGCAAGGAGUGGCAGCAAUAGCAAUACAACCAAGAGAGGGGUAUCUCUAUUCUAUUCUCCAGAACUCUAUCUAAAGCAUGCAAUAAUGAUUUUUUUAAUGACCUGUUACCGAGAAAAAUGCUUUUGAAAAUUUGUUAAAUAUUGGUGAACUCGAUUAUUGAGCCGUGAUAAUUGAGCCGUUCAUUGCACAAAUCGAUUUACUCCAUAAUGUAAAAAGUUAUACUAUACCAAGUGCUUUGACGCUGAACACGUUGGUCGCCAUGUCACCCAGAAAUCAGUGACGGUACUCAGUAAUCGAAUUAAAUAAAUUAAUACCAAAAGUGAGACUAUAAUGAAAAUAAAUUUGGACUGGAUUUAUGAAUUUAAUUGGUUAAACAUUUCAAUACCGCGGUAUAUGUUAAAUUAUCUAGUCUUCAACAGUCUCGAGACGAAAUUUUAUCUUGGAGAAAUUUUCACGAGUUUUAGUAUGGCAGCCAACGUGUUGAAAAGACUUUUUAAAAGCUCCAUAAAAGAAAAAGUUGAGAAAUGCGACGAAAUAUAAAAAGUUAUGACUAUACCAAGUGCUUUGACACUUAAAUUUAAAAUUUCUUUUAAGUGGAGUUAAUCGAUUUAUGCAGUGAACAGCUCAAUUGUAGGUCUUCGACACAGCUCUGUCAGCAUUGAUAUAGCAACACACGAAUCAAUUUUAUUUUAUAUUCUUUUCUUCGUUCUUGUAUGAAGAAUCCUCCUCCUUGUUGUGUUGCUAUUACUGGAACAAUCUGCACGUAGAUCGCCGAUAGUUCAUUGUUCAAACGAAUAAUGCUCCUGGAGCCAUCACUGUCUUAAUUCUUAACUUUUCUUUUUAUUCUCCCGAGAUACGUAUCCACUCAUUUCCACGAGUGUUUGAAUCGAUUCGGUUGCCAUUGGCAGCGCCCAAUCGGUUUAAAAAGCGAUCGACGCAUGUUCCAGAAAGAUGAAGCGAACUUGGAAUUCUUCGUAUGAAGUCUAUCGAGCCUUCGAGUAAAAGGUUCAAGUCCACUUCGAAGUUAUACUGGAUCUAGGCUGAUCAUCUACAUCGGUGAUUCUUAACCACUGUGCACACCACUAUGCCACGAAUGUUUGCAUUUUAUAACAUUUGAAAUUGUUACUAUAACUCAUGAAAGAAAAAAGGUCCAUAACAAGCAUCAGUUUAAAUAUAAAUAUAUCUUAAACAUUUCGACUUUGUACCAUCUAUCAGUCAGAGAAAAUCAGGUUCUCUGAGAGUUAUUAAAUAAUAAAAAAAUGUUUGAGUUAGAGACACAUUUUAUUCGAUGUUGGCUUUGUUCCUUAAAAAAGACAAGUCUUCUUGUUUCUUCGAUCAUUUAUUAAUUCCAUCAAUGAUUGUAUAAACUUCGGUUUAAAAAUUCUUCGCUAUGUUUUCUUCGAGAGGAUUCGAAUGAUAUAAAGUGGAAACAUUUAAAAUGUAUCUACUUAUAUUUAAACUAUUGUCCAUUUCACUAUUGGAUUUCUACUCCACAAGGAACUUAUGUAUUAUUAAAUUCUUCGAAGUUUUGUAGAAGAGGUUCGAGUUAAAAUUACAUUUUCUCAAAAAAGAUAAUGGAUAUUUUAAAGCAUCUAACAAAUUAAUCAGUUCUUAAAUUUGCAAUUUUAACAACUGAACUAAAGCCCCUAUCUCUUCUUUUCUAUCUCUAGAGCUAAUAUAGUAAUACUUGAAUUUAUACCUUGAAAAUUCAGCUUUUUCAUUCGAGUUCUUUCUACCAAGCAUCGAGUUUAUUUCUAUCUGAAUUGUACUCUAAACUCAUAAACCUUAAGAUUCAUUUUAUAAUUCUGCUAUGAACCCAAAAAGGUUAGGAAUCACUGAUCUAAACAAAAAUUAUGUGCAGUAAUGCGUCGAUCAAAUUACGAUUUCUGAUCAGAAAUGAACAAGAUAUACAGAAACGAUCGUUACGAGAGUUCCUUCGAUGUAGCGGCAGUUUCUAUUUCCGCAUCUUCGCGUAAGAAACCCCUAUGUUUUGUAAACAACGUUACCGAAACCGCAGCGAGCCGUAACACCAGCGACUGUAGCCCUUAAUUCCUUGUAGCCUUAUAAUAUAAUAUUCUUCUUUUCUUUUGUUCUUUUUCUUCUCUAUUCUUUUCAAAUUAUGCGCGAAUAAGCACAAACGUUUGAAAGAAAUUGUAUAAGAUAUGUAGACAUAUAUUUGAAACUUGAGUUAUAUAUUUAACAUGAAUACUAUUUAAUGUAUGAUUCAAGCUUAUAAUAAACGGGUUGUAUAGAA